rnacentral:rRNA from 1 species
CCCUUAGAUGUUCUGGGCCGCACGCGCGCUACACUGACGCAUUCAACGAGUCUAAAACCUGCUCUGAUAGGGGUGGGUAAUCUUUUGAAUGUGCAUCGUGAUUGGGAUAGAUGAUUGCAAUUUUUCAUCUUCAACGAGGAAUGCCUAGUAAACGCAAGUCAUCAGCUUGCAUUGAUUACGUCCCUGCCCUUUGUACACACCGCCCGUCGCUCCUACCGAUUGAAUGAUCCGAUGAAUAUCAUGGAUUGAGGAUUAUAGCAGGUUCGCCUGUCUUGAUCUUCGAGAAGUGAAGUAAAUCUUAUCAUUUAGAGGAAGGAGAAGUCGUAACA